rnacentral:tRNA from 1 species
ACGCGCAUAGCCUAGUGGACAUGGCAUCUGCCCGGUAAGCGGAACACUGUGGGUUCGAUUCCCAUCCCUGUACACU